CCUACGGGGUGCAGCAGUGGGGAAUAUUGCACAAUGGGCGCAAGCCUGAUGCAGCCAUGCCGCGUGUGUGAAGAAGGCCUUCGGGUUGUAAAGCACUUUCAGCGGGGAGGAAGGCGGUGAGGUUAAUAACCUCAUCGAUUGACGCUACCCGCAGAAGAAGCACCGGCUAACUCCGUGCCAGCAGCCGCGGUAAUACGGAGGGUGCAAGCGUUAAUCGGAAUUACUGGGCGUAAAGCGCACGCAGGCGGUCUGUCAAGUCGGAUGUGAAAUCCCCGGGCUCAACCUGGGAACUGCAUUCGAAACUGGCAGGCUAGAGUCUUGUAGAGGGGGGUAGAAUUCCAGGUGUAGCGGUGAAAUGCGUAGAGAUCUGGAGGAAUACCGGUGGCGAAGGCGGCCCCCUGGACAAAGACUGACGCUCAGGUGCGAAAGCGUGGGGAGCAAACAGGAUUAGAUACCCUUGUAGUC
rnacentral:rRNA from 1 species